UAGGGAAUCUUCGGCAAUGGGGGCAACCCUGACCGAGCAACGCCGCGUGAGUGAAGAAGGUUUUCGGAUCGUAAAGCUCUGUUGUAAGUCAAGAACGGGUGUGAGAGUGGAAAGUUCACACUGUGACGGUAGCUUACCAGAAAGGGACAGCUAACUACGUGCCAGCAGCCGCGGUAAUACGUAGGUCCCGAGCGUUGUCCGGAUUUAUUGGGCGUAAAGCGAGCGCAGGCGGUUUGAUAAGUCUGAAGUUAAAGGCUGUGGCUCAACCAUAGUUCGCUUUGGAAACUGUCAAACUUGAGUGCAGAAGGGGAGAGUGGAAUUCCAUGUGUAGCGGUGAAAUGCGUAGAUAUAUGGAGGAACACCGGUGGCGAAAGCGGCUCUCUGGUCUGUAACUGACGCUGAGGCUCGAAAGCGUGGGGAGCGAACAG
rnacentral:rRNA from 1 species